rnacentral:rRNA from 1 species
UAACACGUAGUCAACCUAACUCGUGGACGUGGAUAACCUCGGGAAACUGAGAAUAAACCACGAUAGAUCAUAGUGCCUGGAAUGGCUUAUGGUCCAAACAGUCUACUGCCAUGGGAUGGGACUGCGGCCUAUCAGCUUGUUGGUGAGGUAAUGGCCCACCAAGGCGAUUACAGGUACGGGCUCUGAGAGGAGAAGCCCGGAGAUGGGUACUGAGACACGGACCCAGGCCCUAUGGGGCGCAGCAGGCGAGAAACCUUAGCAAUGUGCGAAAGCACGACUGGGUCAGUCCGAGUGAUUCCUGAUAAAGGAGUCUUUUGCUUGUCCUAAAAGCACAGGUGAAUAAGGGGUGGGCAAGUCUGGUGUCAGCCGCCGCGGUAAUACCAGCACCUCGAGUGGUCAGGACGUUUAUUGGGCCUAAAGCAUCCGUAGCCGGCUUUGCAAGUCUUCGGUUAAAUCCACCUGCUCAACAGAUGGGCCGCUGGAGAUACUACAGAGCUAGGGAGUGGGAGAGGCAGACGGUAUUCAGUGGGGUAGGGGU